rnacentral:rRNA from 1 species
GGGUGAGUAAGACAUGGGUGAUCUGCCCUGGAGAUGGGGAUAUCCCUCCGAAAGGGGGGGCAAUACCGAAUAGUAUCCGGUUCCGUGAAGGGGGCCGGGGAAAGGGAGGCCUCUGGUACAAGCUUCCGCUCCUGGAUGAGCCCAUGGCCCAUCAGCUAGUUGGUAGGGUAAAGGCCUACCAAGGCGACGACGGGUAGCUGGUCUGAGAGGACAACCAGCCACACUGGCACUGAGACACGGGCCAGACUCCUACGGGAGGCAGCAGUGAGGAAUAUUGCGCAAUGGGGGCAACCCUGACGCAGCAACGCCCCGUGUGGGAAGAAGGCUUUCGGGUUGUAAACCACUUUUGCCCGGGACGAAGGGGGGGACCUGAAUAAGGUUGCCCGAUGACGGUACCGGGAGAAUAAGCCACGGCUAACUCUGUGCCAGCAGCCGCGGUAAGACAGAGGUGGCAAGCGUUGUUCGGAGUUACUGGGCGUAAAGAGUCUGUAGGUGGUCUGUCAAGUCUUUGGUGAAAGGCCGUGGCUUAACCAUGGGAAUGC